rnacentral:tRNA from 13 species
GAGCGCGUAGCUCAGUCGGUAGAGCAACUGACUUUUAAUCAGUAGGUCCAGGGUUCGAAUCCCUGCGCGCUCACCA